rnacentral:tRNA from 2 species
UGCUCCUUAGCUCAGUCGGUAGAGCGCAUGACUGUUAAUCAUGAUGUCGUCAGUUCGAGCCUGACAGGAGCAGCCA